rnacentral:rRNA from 1 species
UACGUAGGUCGCAAGCGUUGUCCGGAUUUACUGGGCGUAAAGAGCGCGCAGGCGGCUGGUCAAGUCCGAUGUGAAAUCUCCCGGCUCAACUGGGAAACUGCAUCGGAAACUGAUCGGCUUGAAGGUGGGAGAGGGUAGUGGAAUUCCCGGUGUAGUGGUGAAAUGCGUAGAGAUCGGGAGGAACAUCAGUGGCGAAGGCGGCCAUCUGGGACAACACUGACGCUGAAGCACGAAAGCGUGGGGAGCAAACAGG